CCCCUAGACGUUCUGGGCUGCACGCGCGCUACAAUAAUACGCACAGCGAGUAUCACCGAGCUCGAAAGGGCAAGGUAAACAAUAGAAAAGGUACUGUAAUGGUUAUAGAUCCUUGUAAUUAUUGAUCUUCAACGAGGAAUUCCUAGUAAGUAUGUGUCAUCAUCACGCACUGAUUACGUCCCUGCCCUUUGUACACACCGCCCGUCGCUCCUACCGAUUGAGUGAGCCGAUGAAACUGCCGGAUGUGGACUAUUCAUAGUCUGCAGAAGGUAUUUGAAUCGUAGCGCUUAGAGGAAGGAGAAGUCGUAACA
rnacentral:rRNA from 1 species